UAGUUGAAUGACAACAGUGGUUUUUCGUAUCACAAGUCCAGGUUAAAGUCCUGAUGUGAAUUGUGAAUU
rnacentral:tRNA from 1 species